rnacentral:rRNA from 1 species
UGGGGAAUAUUGCACAAUGGGCGCAAGCCUGAUGCAGCGACGCCGCGUGAGGGAUGACGGCCUUCGGGUUGUAAACCUCUUUCAGUAGGGAAGAAGCGUAAGUGACGGUACCUGCAGAAGAAGCGCCGGCUAACUACGUGCCAGCAGCCGCGGUAAUACGUAGGGCGCAAGCGUUAUCCGGAAUUAUUGGGCGUAAAGAGCUCGUAGGCGGUUUGUCGCGUCUGCCGUGAAAGUCCGGGGCUCAACUCCGGAUCUGCGGUGGGUACGGGCAGACUAGAGUGAUGUAGGGGAGACUGGAAUUCCUGGUGUAGCGGUGAAAUGCGCAGAUAUCAGGAGGAACACCGAUGGCGAAGGCAGGUCUCUGGGCAUUAACUGACGCUGAGGAGCGAAAGCAU